UACGUAGGGUGCAAGCGUUAAUCGGAAUUACUGGGCGUAAAGCGUGCGCAGGCGGUUUCGUAAAUCUGUCGUGAAAUCCCCGGGCUUAACCUGGGAAUGGCGAUGGAGACUGCGAGGCUAGAGUUUGGCAGAGGGGGGUAGAAUUCCACGUGUAGCAGUGAAAUGCGUAGAGAUGUGGAGGAACACCGAUGGCGAAGGCAGCCCCCUGGGUCAAAACUGACGCUCAUGCACGAAAGCGUGGGGAGCAAACAGG
rnacentral:rRNA from 1 species